rnacentral:lncRNA from 1 species
CAAAGUCAGAGAGCUCUUUCCGCCUCCAGAAUCGAAAAUGGUUGGUCACUUUCUCUCUCCGUGAUCACAUGAAUAUCCUUUUAUAUUUUCUCUGAAUAUGGAUUUUUUUAAUGUAAUUUGUAUAUACAGCCGUCACACAAGACAUUCAUGAUAAAGAAGAAGCUGGCGAAGAAGCAGAGGCAGAACAGGCCAAUUCCGUACUGGAUCAGGCUGCGCACUGACAAUACCAUCCGCUACAAUGCGAAGCGUCGCCAUUGGCGCCGCACGAAGCUCGGCUUCUAAGCCAAGCCCUUACUUGUUAGCGUUCUUACAUUCUGCUUUGGUUUCCCAUUAGGGUUUAAUGUUUUGGAAUUGAAUCAUCAGUAUUGAGAUUGCUAUGUAUUUUAAAUGAUUUUAAUACUUCUAUGUCUUGAAUUAACAUAGAAAUUUGAUUUUGGUAAUUUUGUUCAGUGGUUUCUAUUCUUUCUGUGAUAUAAAUGGUUUGAUUGGUUUCUCACUUCUAGAUGUAGUGAGAGUCUGAACCCACCACAUAGGUUUCUUGGCUGGGUUUGAAUCACUUACCGUGGCUCUUAUACGGAGGGCUCCCUUCCUGAAUGCUAAUUUCUAUAGACAGUGGAUUGACCCCUUAUAUAAUUGAUUGAUUUUGAAAUGUUAGGAUUCUGUCUUUUGCCUUAAUUUAUCUCGCAUGCUGAAUCAAC